UACGUAGGGACCAAGCGUUGUUCGGAUUUACUGGGCGUAAAGGGCGCGUAGGCGGCGUGACAAGUCACUUGUGAAAUCUCCGGGCUUAACUCGGAACGGUCAAGUGAUACUGUCGUGCUAGAGUACAGAAGGGGCAACUGGAAUUCUCGGUGUAGCGGUGAAAUGCGUAGAUAUCGAGAGGAACACCUGCGGCGAAGGCGGCUUACUGGUCCGGUUCUGACGCUGAGGCGCGAAAGCGUGGGGAGCAAACAGG
rnacentral:rRNA from 1 species